CGAUAAUCGAUUAUCGUUGGUAAGAUAAUCGAUUAUCUCACCUUGCGUAAAAACGUCCAGUUUAAUGAAAUAUUAGAUAAUCGAUUAUCUCCUCACGAUAAUCGAUUAACUCAGUAGAAAAAUGAUUUCAAGACGUUUUUCAUUGUUUAUUUAAAUACCAAAAAUAUAAUAUAUGUCUUAAAUAUUAAAGACACUUUUAAAAACCUUUUUGNNNN
rnacentral:lncRNA from 1 species